rnacentral:rRNA from 1 species
GAUGAACGCUAGCUACAGGCUUAACACAUGCAAGUCGAGGGGCAGCAUCAUCAAAGCUUGCUUUGAUGGAUGGCGACCGGCGCACGGGUGAGUAACACGUAUCCAACCUGCCGACAACACUGGGAUAGCCUUUCGAAAGAAAGAUUAAUACCGGAUGGCAUAAUUAUUCCGCAUGGGAUAAUUAUUAAAGAAUUUCGGUUGUCGAUGGGGAUGCGUUCCAUUAGGCAGUUGGCGGGGUAACGGCCCACCAAACCUACGAUGGAUAGGGGUUCUGAGAGGAAGGUCCCCCACAUUGGAACUGAGACACGGUCCAAACUCCUACGGGAGGCAGCAGUGAGGAAUAUUGGUCAAUGGACGAGAGUCUGAACCAGCCAAGUAGCGUGAAGGAUGACUGCCCUAUGGGUUGUAAACUUCUUUUAUACGGGAAUAAAGUGAGCCACGUGUGGCUUUUUGUAUGUACCGUAUGAAUAAGGAUCGGCUAACUCCGUGCCAGCAGCCGCGGUAAUACGGAGGAUCCGAGCGUUAUCCGGAUUUAUUGGGUUUAAAGGGAGCGUAGGCGGGUUGUUAAGUCAGUUGUGAAAGUUUGCGGCUCAACCGUAAAAUUGCAGUUGAUACUGGCGACCUUGAGUGCAACAGAGGUAGGCGGAAUUCGUGGUGUAGCGGUGAAAUGCUUAGAUAUCACGAAGAACUCCGAUUGCGAAGGCAGCUUACUGGAUUGUAACUGACGCUGAUGCUCGAAAGUGUGGGUAUCAAACAGGAUUAGAUACCCUGGUAGUCCACACAGUAAACGAUGAAUACUCGCUGUUGGCGAUAUACAGUCAGCGGCCAAGCGAAAGCAUUAAGUAUUCCACCUGGGGAGUACGCCGGCAACGGUGAAACUCAAAGGAAUUGACGGGGGCCCGCACAAGCGGAGGAACAUGUGGUUUAAUUCGAUGAUACGCGAGGAACCUUACCCGGGCUUAAAUUGCAACUGACGGAACCGGAAACGGUUCUUUCUUCGGACAGUUGUGAAGGUGCUGCAUGGUUGUCGUCAGCUCGUGCCGUGAGGUGUCGGCUUAAGUGCCAUAACGAGCGCAACCCUUACGGGUAGUUACCAUCAGGUUAUGCUGGGGACUCUACCCGGACUGCCGUCGUAAGAUGUGAGGAAGGUGGGGAUGACGUCAAAUCAGCACGGCCCUUACGUCCGGGGCUACACACGUGUUACAAUGGGGGGUACAGAAGGCAGCUACACGGCGACGUGGUGCUAAUCCCAAAAGCCUCUCUCAGUUCGGAUUGGAGUCUGCAACCCGACUCCAUGAAGCUGGAUUCGCUAGUAAUCGCGCAUCAGCCACGGCGCGGUGAAUACGUUCCCGGGCCUUGUACACACCGCCCGUCAAGCCAUGAAAGCCGGGGGUACCUGAAGUACGUAACCGCGAGGAGCGUCCUAGGGUAAAACUGGU